ACGUACACUCCUACGGGAGGCAACAGUGGGGAAUAUUGGACAAUGGGCGCAAGCCUGAUCCAGCCAUGCCGCGUGAGUGAUGAAGGCCCUAGGGUUGUAAAGCUCUUUCACCGGUGAAGAUAAUGACGGUAACCGGAGAAGAAGCCCCGGCUAACUUCGUGCCAGCAGCCGCGGUAAUACGAAGGGGGCUAGCGUUGUUCGGAUUUACUGGGCGUAAAGCGCACGUAGGCGGACUAUUAAGUCAGGGGUGAAAUCCCGGGGCUCAACCCCGGAACUGCCUUUGAUACUGGUAGUCUUGAGUUCGAGAGAGGUGAGUGGAAUUCCGAGUGUAGAGGUGAAAUUCGUAGAUAUUCGGAGGAACACCAGUGGCGAAGGCGGCUCACUGGCUCGAUACUGACGCUGAGGUGCGAAAGCGUGGGGAGCAAACAGGAUUAGAUACCCGAGUAGUCCC
rnacentral:rRNA from 1 species